rnacentral:lncRNA from 1 species
AAUUUAUUGAAAACAUUUUGUCUUCCACAUUGAACAAAAUAUAACGCAUGCUUAUUUGAAAGAUCUACUUAUUGACGCAUAAUCCAUUUUUCACACAUAAUAUCUAGAUCAUAUGAUUUGUAUGCAUUUUUUUAUAAACAAUUGCAUCACCAUGCAUAUCUAUUAUUCCAGAGAAUGAAGAAUUACGUCCCUAUUGUGUUUUGUAGUUUUCCAUUAGUCUAUAUUGUAGAGGUUUACAUAUUACUUGAUCUAGAUCUAUAAUUCUAGAAUAAGAACAUGAAUGAACAUACUUUGAAAAUUAUUAACAGCAAGUAGUGUGUAGGACACAACCGCGAGUUCAUUGCAGGAACUGGAAAAGUUAUGUCACAAACGACAACGAAUAUGUUAUCAUUGUUGAAAUCACAAUACUGUCAUAUUUUUAUGGACUAGCAAAUUUGAACGUACCACGAGCAUUAUAACAGGAUUACUGUCACAUAGUGGAGUUGCUAAGCACAUCAGUAUUUUCUUUUCUUUGUGUUUGUUUGAUAACUUGUAUGUCUUUCGUGGAC